rnacentral:lncRNA from 1 species
CGCCCAGUGACCUUCGCACUUUAUAAGUAAUCCCAGGCAAGAGUUCUAGGAAUGCAGCCUGCAUGAGGGCUCAGGGCAUGGUCAGAUAGGUGCAGAGCAGGGGCAGGUGCCUGGCUCCUCUCUGGGGUCACAGCAGGCUCCCUCCCUGCCAGAUUGUGGGUGCAACAUUCAGGGAAUGGUUACUGAAGUGUUCCAGGCACCAGAGCUCAGGCAAGAAGAGGAAAACUGUGCAAGAUCCUGCACAUUCAACGGCUAAAAUGACUUUUAAAACUAUCUGGUGAAUGGAAAUACCACAUCAAGCCACUAGGUGGCAAAGCAGACUCGGAGAACGA